AGAAUAUGGAGACUGUUCAGUUACUCUCAACACAAAGUUAUCAUUUUUGGGCUGGAUAAUUCAAGAUAAUCUACCAGUCUUUACCAGCUUUUUAUGAAUGAAGAUUCACAUCCAUUUCCCACAAUAGGAAGUAAUGUUGAAGAGACAGUGGUUUAGUAAUACAUAUUUCCUAAUGUGAGAUACUGGUGUCCAAGAACAUCUUCAUUUUUCCUGGACACUUACUAUGCUAACUGGAUUUGUAAUAGUUGUCAUGGACGGUACAGACCGAGAGAGAAAGGAUUUCUGUAACUAGAGAAGAACUUUAUAAAAAGUUAGCACUUGUGCACCCAAGGAAAGUUGGAAUGCUGAUUUUUGCUAAUAAACAAGGUGCUAAAUAAUACAUGCCUGACUGUACCUGAAAUCUCUCAAGUUUUCAAACUAACAUCUGUUAGAGAUGACCAAGCAUAAACAGGAAUAUUGUGUUGUUACUGAGAGGGAUUAGGCUAACUUAAAUGUAUAAUGUUACAAUUUAAGA
rnacentral:lncRNA from 1 species